rnacentral:lncRNA from 1 species
AAUCCAGGCAAGAGAGCCCAAGAGCCCGCCACGCGCCUGCAAGUGAGAGCACUGUGCCGCUCCUUCCUCCGCCAGGGGUGGGGUAGCUGGGAGGGACAAGCCUUUCACCUCCCAGCACACAGGGAGUGGUCUGGGGGUCCACUGAGCAGGUGCCCCCCCUAAACCAGUACAUGACUAGUUUGACGCCAGCCAGACCCAAUGUAAAGCAACAUGUUCAUCACCAAGAUGGGCCUUCAUCAAACCUGCUGCCCAUUUAUGAAAUCACAUGCUAAGCCCCAGACUCCAUAGCACCCAAAUAUGAAUGCCUGACUGCUUGGGGCUCAUGGAUAAUAGCUGAGACUUUCCCUCAGGCAAUGUCUUGUUCUUGGUGCUGGGCUAGUCAGCUUUUCAUUACUGUAACAAAAUCAAGUGGUAAGCAGAAAGGGAUUAUUUUGGCUCAUUUUUGUUUUUUUGGCUUAUUUUGGUUUUGGAGGUUUUAGUCCAGAUCACUCCAUUGUUCUGGGCCUGUGGCGAUCGAGGCAGCAAACCAUGGCAACAGUGCAUGUCACAGCAGAGCCAGGAAUCAAGAAGGGCAGGGGACCAGGGCCCACAUCCUCUUCCAGGGCAUGUCCCCAGUGAUGUACAACCUCCUCAUUAGGUCCUGCAUCUUUAGCUUCCACCAACUCCCAAUAGAGUGCCAAGUUUGGGACCAAGUCUUGAGCACAUGGACUUUGAGAACAGGCAGAUCCAAACUGCAGCAGCACACCUCUCCUCACUCUCCCCAGUGGAAACCUACCGCUCCAUCCUCCCUGGCUUCAGUCCAGGCCGGCCAGGGUAGCCAGCCAUUAAUGGGUGUUAAUUUUCACCUCUUUCCUGCUGGUAAGUUUCAUAUGCUCUGGGGUGAACUUUAAAACAUUUACAUAAACUUGCAAACACAUAAAAAAGCAGAGAGAGUAGUAUAAUGCAUGCCAUGUGUCAAUCACCAGCUUUGACAGUCAACACGUGACCUCUCACCCCAACUCGGGACGAUUUUGAAGUAUGAUCCUAGACAUCAGUUCAUUUCAUCUGUAGUUUUCAGCACAUGUCUCUGAAAGAUAAGGACUUUAAAAAUAACCUCAAUACCAUUCAUAUCUAAAAAAUUAAUAACGGGGGCUGGGGUAUAGCUCAGUUGGUAGAGAACUUGCCUCGCAUGCGCAAGGCCCUGGGGGUUCUAAUCCCCAGCACCACACAAAAAAAUAAAUAAAUAAAAAAUAAUGGUUGCUCCACCCCUUCAAAUAAUCAUUCUUCACAUUUCCGAGUGAUUCAGGUUGUUUUUUCUUUGCUUGAAUUAGGUGUCCUUCAGUCUGUAAGCAGGGUUCUCACACUGCAGCAUGGAUAGUUAGAGAGGAGACCACUGGAUUGUCCCUUCUGUGGACUCCUCAGUCUGGGUUUUCUAGAAUGUGUCUUACAGUGUCUUUUAACAUGUUCUCUGUUUUGUAUAAACCAGUGGUUAUACCUAGAGAUCUAACUAGAUCCAAGUGAGCUUAGAUGUGUCAAACCCAUUUCAUUGGUGGCAACAGGUCCUUCCAGCAGGAGGCACCCACUGUCCCUCUUUCUGAUGUCAUCAGCCUUAAGAAUUAUUGCGCAGCCCUUACUUUAGGGUCCAGUGAUGUUCUAGUGCUACUUUCCUCA